rnacentral:rRNA from 1 species
UGGGGAAUAUUGGGCAAUGGGCGAAAGCCUGACCCAGCCAUGCCGCGUGAGUGAUGAAGGCCUUAGGGUUGUAAAGCUCUUUCACCGACGAGGAUAAUGACGGUAGUCGGAGAAGAAGCCCCGGCUAACUUCGUGCCAGCAGCCGCGGUAAUACGAAGGGGGCUAGCGUUGUUCGGAAUCACUGGGCGUAAAGAGCGUGUAGGUGGAUAUGCAAGCUAGAGGUGAAAGCCCAGGGCUCAACCCUGGAACUGCCUUUAGAACUGCAUAUCUGGAGUCUUGGAGGGGAGUGCGGAAUUCCUAAUGUAGAGGUGAAAUUCGUAGAUAUUAGGAGGAACACCGGUGGCGAAGGCGGCACUCUGGACAAGUACUGACACUGAGACGCGAAAGCGUGGGGAGCAAACAGGAUUAGAUACCCCCGUAGUCC